CAACUUUCUUCUUUUGCAGUAUCUGACCAGACGGAUACCACAGAACCCAAGGUAUCAACAUGUCAAGUCAAGACUGGAUACUGGAAACAGCAUGACCAAAUACAUUGAGAAGCUAGAAGAGAUUAAAAAAAAUUAUAGAUACAAAAAAGAUGAACUUUUCAAGAGAAUAAAAGUUACCACUUUUGCCCAGCUGGUAAGUCUAGCAGUUUUCCUAUUGGAGUAAAGACACAUUUGUGCUGGUCUAUAGGAGCCACUCUAGGUAUCUCUGGGGUCUUUUUGCAAGGAGUGGUUUCUGGCCUUCAUACUUUACCAGGAGGGUAUGAAUUGGUAUGUAUGGGGGUGCUGUUCACAAAAGGAUAGUGUGGUACUCCUGUUUUUAAGGGUUCCACAAAAUAAAUACAUCUGCAUUCUAUUCUUGGUGACCAGAUCUG
rnacentral:lncRNA from 1 species